rnacentral:rRNA from 1 species
GACGAACGCUGGCGGCGUGCUUAACACAUGCAAGUCGAACGAAAAGGCCCUGCUUUUGUGGGGUGCUCGAGUGGCGAACGGGUGAGUAACACGUGAGUAACCUGCCCUUGACUUUGGGAUAACUUCAGGAAACUGGGGCUAAUACCGGAUAGGAGCUCCUGCUGCAUGGUGGGGGUUGGAAAGUUUCGGCGGUUGGGGAUGGACUCGCGGCUUAUCAGCUUGUUGGUGGGGUAGUGGCUUACCAAGGCUUUGACGGGUAGCCGGCCUGAGAGGGUGACCGGCCACAUUGGGACUGAGAUACGGCCCAGACUCCUACGGGAGGCAGCAGUGGGGAAUAUUGCACAAUGGGCGGAAGCCUGAUGCAGCAACGCCGCGUGCGGGAUGACGGCCUUCGGGUUGUAAACCGCUUUCGCCUCUGACGAAGCGUGAGUGACGGUAAUGGGUAAAGAAGCACCGGCUAACUACGUG